AUUGAACGCUGGCGGCAUGCUUUACACAUGCAAGUCGAGCGGCAGCGCGGGGGUAACCCUGGCGGCGAGCGGCGAACGGGUGAGUAAUGCAUCGGAACGUAUCCGCGAGUGGGGGAUAACCCAGCGAAAGGUGGGCUAAUACCGCAUGAGCCCUGAGGAGGAAAGCGGGGGACCUGCGGGGCUCUCGCGCUGGGAGAGCGGUCGAUGGCCGAUUAGCUAGUGGGUGGGGUAAAGGCCUACCAAGGCGACGAUCGGUAGCUGGUCUGAGAGGAUGAUCAGCCACACUGGAACUGAGACACGGCCCAGACUCCUACGGGAGGCAGCAGUGGGGAAUUUUGGACAAUGGGGGCAAGCCUGAUCCAGCCAUGCCGCGUGAGUGAAGAAGGCCUUCGGGUUGUAAAGCUCUUUCGGUCGGAACGAAGUGGAGGAGGCUAAUACUCCGGUCUGUUGACGUUACCGUAAGAAGAAGCACCGGCUAACUACGUG
rnacentral:rRNA from 1 species